CAAUUAUKGGUCAUACCUKCCCACUSAUAAAAUUUUAACGGCCGCAGUACCCUGACUGUGCAAAGGUAGCAUAAUCAUUUGUCUUAUAAUUGAAGACUAGAAUGAACGGUCUAACGCGGGCGAAACUGUCUCACAAAUGUAAUAAUAAAUUAAUUUAUUGGUCAAAAAGCCAAUAUACUAUUAUUAGACGAGAAGACCCUACUGAGCUUAAUUGUUAACUUUUAAUUACCUAAAAACAAAAAUUUUGUUGGGGCGACAAAGGAACUACAUAACCUUCCUUUAACAACCAAAUCUGCAAAAUUUAUAACGAUCCAUUUCUAAUGAUCAAAUACUAAGUUACCAUAGGGAUAACAGCAUAAUUCUUUUCAAGAGCCCUCAUCGAAAAAAGAGUUUGUGACCUCGAUGUUGGACUAAGGUACACUAAAGACGCAACCGUUUCUAGUUAUAGUCUGWUCGACUAACAC
rnacentral:rRNA from 1 species